rnacentral:misc_RNA from 1 species
GUCUCAUUUGUGGAUAGCUUACUCUGUCAAACACAACAAGCGCAAAUGUGAGUGGAUGAGUAGGGGUUAGGUGGUAGUGUUGGAGUGCCGAGGUGCAUCUUGCGACACAACCCCACCACACCCAACAAACCUCCCCUCCCCCACUACCACAAACCGAUUUGUAAUGAUCCUUCCGCAGGUUCACCUACGGAAA